rnacentral:rRNA from 1 species
AUUGAACGCUGGCGGCAUGCCUUACACAUGCAAGUCGAACGGCAGCAUGGAGAGCUUGCUCUCUGAUGGCGAGCGGCGAACGGGUGAGUAAAGCAUCGGAACGUACCGUGUAGUGGGGGAUAACGUAGCGAAAGUUGCGCUAAUACCGCAUACGCACUGCGGUGGAAAGCAGGGGAUCGUAAGACCUUGCGCUAAACGAGCGGCCGAUGUCAGAUUAGCUAGUUGGUAGGGUAAAGGCCUACCAAGGCGACGAUCUGUAGCGGGUCUGAGAGGAUGAUCCGCCACACUGGGACUGAGACACGGCCCAGACUCCUACGGGAGGCAGCAGUGGGGAAUUUUGGACAAUGGGGGCAACCCUGAUCCAGCCAUGCCGCGUGAGUGAAGAAGGCCUUCGGGUUGUAAAGCUCUUUCGGCCGGGAAGAAAUCGCACAGGCUAAUACCCUGUGUGGAUGACGGUACCGGCAUAAGAAGCACCGGCUAACUACGUGCCAGCCGCCGCAGUAA